GACGUAGGGGGCGAGCGUUGUCCGGAUUUAUUGGGCGUAAAGCGUGCGUAGGCGGCUGCGCAAGUCGGGUGUGAAACCCCGGGGCUCAACCCCGGAACUGCAUCCGAUACUGCGUGGCUAGAGGUAGGUAGGGGAGAUCGGAAUUCCUGGUGUAGCGGUGAAAUGCGCAGAUAUCAGGAGGAACACCGGUGGCGAAGGCGGAUCUCUGGGCCUUACCUGACGCUCAGGCACGGAAGCUAGGGGAGCGAACAGG
rnacentral:rRNA from 1 species